UUUUAUGGAGAGUUUGAUCCUGGCUCAGGAUGAACGCUGGCGGCGUGCCUAAUACAUGCAAGUCGAGCGAACGGACGAGAAGCUUGCUUCUCUGAUGUUAGCGGCGGACGGGUGAGUAACACGUGGAUAACCUACCUAUAAGACUGGGAUAACUUCGGGAAACCGGAGCUAAUACCGGAUAAUAUUUUGAACCGCAUGGUUCAAAAGUGAAAGACGGUCUUGCUGUCACUUAUAGAUGGAUCCGCGCUGCAUUAGCUAGUUGGUAAGGUAACGGCUUACCAAGGCAACGAUGCAUAGCCGACCUGAGAGGGUGAUCGGCCACACUGGAACUGAGACACGGUCCAGACUCCUACGGGAGGCAGCAGUAGGGAAUCUUCCGCAAUGGGCGAAAGCCUGACGGAGCAACGCCGCGUGAGUGAUGAAGAUCUUCGGAUCGUAAAACUCUGUUAUUAGGGAAGAACAUAUGUGUAAGUAACUGUGCACAUCUUGACGGUACCUAAUCAGAAAGCCACGGCUAACUACGUGCCAGCAGCCGCGGUAAUACGUAGGUGGCAAGCGUUAUCCGGAAUUAUUGGGCGUAAAGCGCGCGUAGGCGGUUUUUUAAGUCUGAUGUGAAAGCCCACGGCUCAACCGUGGAGGGUCAUUGGAAACUGGAAAACUUGAGUGCAGAAGAGGAAAGUGGAAUUCCAUGUGUAGCGGUGAAAUGCGCAGAGAUAUGGAGGAACACCAGUGGCGAAGGCGACUUUCUGGUCUGUAACUGACGCUGAUGUGCGAAAGCGUGGGGAUCAAACAGGAUUAGAUACCCUGGUAGUCCACGCCGUAAACGAUGAGUGCUAAGUGUUAGGGGGUUUCCGCCCCUUAGUGCUGCAGCUAACGCAUUAAGCACUCCGCCUGGGGAGUACGACCGCAAGGUUGAAACUCAAAGGAAUUGACGGGGACCCGCACAAGCGGUGGAGCAUGUGGUUUAAUUCGAAGCAACGCGAAGAACCUUACCAAAUCUUGACAUCCUUUGACAACUCUAGAGAUAGAGCCUUCCCCUUCGGGGGACAAAGUGACAGGUGGUGCAUGGUUGUCGUCAGCUCGUGUCGUGAGAUGUUGGGUUAAGUCCCGCAACGAGCGCAACCCUUAAGCUUAGUUGCCAUCAUUAAGUUGGGCACUCUAAGUUGACUGCCGGUGACAAACCGGAGGAAGGUGGGGAUGACGUCAAAUCAUCAUGCCCCUUAUGAUUUGGGCUACACACGUGCUACAAUGGACAAUACAAAGGGCAGCGAAACCGCGAGGUCAAGCAAAUCCCAUAAAGUUGUUCUCAGUUCGGAUUGUAGUCUGCAACUCGACUACAUGAAGCUGGAAUCGCUAGUAAUCGUAGAUCAGCAUGCUACGGUGAAUACGUUCCCGGGUCUUGUACACACCGCCCGUCACACCACGAGAGUUUGUAACACCCGAAGCCGGUGGAGUAA
rnacentral:rRNA from 1 species